rnacentral:rRNA from 1 species
ACGCUCGACACCUACGGGAGGUAGCAGGUGGGGAAUAUUGCACAAUGGGGGAAACCCUGAUGCAGCGACGCCGCGUGAAGGAAGAAGUAUCUCGGUAUGUAAACUUCUAUCAGCAGGGAAGAAAGUGACGGUACCUGACUAAGAAGCCCCGGCUAACUACGUGCUAGCAGCCGCGGUAAUCUGAGCGGGCUGGCAAGGC